ACUCGUGAACAGGGGUGCAUGCAUGCUGAGAAAAACCCUUAUCACCUGAUCUAGGUAAAGCUAGCGUAGGGAGUUCAGUUUUUUAAUUC
rfam:Solobacterium moorei F0204 genomic scaffold Scfld15, whole genome shotgun sequence.